rnacentral:rRNA from 1 species
GUGGGGAAUAUUGGACAAUGGGCGCAAGCCUGAUCCAGCCAUACCGCGUGGGUGAAGAAGGCCUUCGGGUUGUAAAGCCCUUUUGUUGGGAAAGAAAUCCUGUCGGUUAAUACCUGGCGGGGAUGACGGUACCCAAAGAAUAAGCACCGGCUAACUUCGUGCCAGCAGCCGCGGUAAUACGAAGGGUGCAAGCGUUACUCGGAAUUACUGGGCGUAAAGCGUGCGUAGGUGGUGGUUUAAGUCCGUUGUGAAAGCCCUGGGCUCAACCUGGGAAUUGCAGUGGAUACUGGAUCACUAGAGUGUGGUAGAGGGAUGCGGAAUUUCUGGUGUAGAAGUGAAAUGCGUAGAGAUCAGAAGGAACAUCCGUGGCGAAGGCGGCAUCCUGGGCCAACACUGACACUGAGGCACGAAAGCGUGGGGAGCAAACAGGAUUAGAUACCCUGGUAGUCC